GAUGAACGCUGGCGGCGUGCUUAACACAUGCAAGUCGAACGAACCUUCGGGUUAGUGGCGGACGGGUGAGUAACGCGUGAGAAUCUGCCCUCAGGAGGGGGACAACAGCUGGAAACGGCUGCUAAUACCCCAUAUGCCGCGAGGUGAAAUGAAUUUCGCCUGAGGAUGGGCUCGCGUCUGAUUAGCUAGUUGGUGUAGGUAAUGGCUCACCAAGGCAUCGAUCAGUAGCUGGUCUGAGAGGAUGAUCAGCCACACUGGGACUGAGACACGGCCCAGACUCCUACGGGAGGCAGCAGUGGGGAAUUUUCCGCAAUGGGCGAAAGCCUGACGGAGCAACGCCGCGUGAGGGAUGAAGGCCUCUGGGCUGUAAACCUCUUUUAUCAAGGAAGAAGAUCUGACGGUACUUGAUGAAUAAGCCACGGCUAAUUCCGUG
rnacentral:rRNA from 1 species